UGGGGUGUAGCUCAGUGGUAGAGCACUUGCCUGGCAUGUGUGAGGCACUGGGUUCGAUCCUCAGCACCACAU
rnacentral:tRNA from 1 species